rnacentral:rRNA from 1 species
UACGGAGGAUCCAAGCGUUAUCCGGAAUCAUUGGGUUUAAAGGGUCCGUAGGCGGUUUUGUAAGUCAGUGGUGAAAGCCCAUCGCUCAACGGUGGAACGGCCAUUGAUACUGCUAGACUUGAAUUAUUAGGAAGUAACUAGAAAUAUGUAGUGUAGCGGUGAAAUGCUUAGAGAUUACAUGGAAUACCAAUUGCGAAGGCAGGUUACUACUAAUGGAUUGACGCUGAUGGACGAAAGCGUGGGGAGCGAACAGG